rnacentral:rRNA from 1 species
GUAGAGUAAGAGCUUGCUUCUCUUGAGAGCGGCGGACGGGUGAGUAAUACCUAGGAAUCUGCCUGAUAGUGGGGGAUAACGUUCGGAAACGGACGCUAAUACCGCAUACGUCCUACGGGAGAAAGCAGGGGACCUUCGGGCCUUGCGCUAUCAGAUGAGCCUAGGUCGGAUUAGCUAGUUGGUGAGGUAAUGGCUCACCAAGGCUACGAUCCGUAACUGGUCUGAGAGGAUGAUCAGUCACACUGGAACUGAGACACGGUCCAGACUCCUACGGGAGGCAGCAGUGGGGAAUAUUGGACAAUGGGCGAAAGCCUGAUCCAGCCAUGCCGCGUGUGUGAAGAAGGUCUUCGGAUUGUAAAGCACUUUAAGUUGGGAGGAAGGGCAGUUACCUAAUACGUGAUUGUCUUGACGUUACCGACAGAAUAAGCACCGGCUAACUCUGUGCCAGCAGCCGCGGUAAUACAGAGGGUGCAAGCGUUAAUCGGAAUUACUGGGCGUAAAGCGCGCGUAGGUGGUUUGUUAAGUUGAAUGUGAAAUCCCCGGGCUCAACCUGGGAACUGCAUCCAAAACUGGCAAGCUAGAGUAUGGUAGAGGGUAGUGGAAUUUCCUGUGUAGCGGUGAAAUGCGUAGAUAUAGGAAGGAACACCAGUGGCGAAGGCGACUACCUGGACUGAUACUGACACUGAGGUGCGAAAGCGUGGGGAGCAAACAGGAUUAGAUACCCUGGUAGUCCACGCCGUAAACGAUGUCAACUAGCCGUUGGGAGUCUUGAACUCUUAGUGGCGCAGCUAACGCAUUAAGUUGACCGCCUGGGGAGUACGGCCGCAAGGUUAAAACUCAAAUGAAUUGACGGGGGCCCGCACAAGCGGUGGAGCAUGUGGUUUAAUUCUAAGCAACCCAAGACCCUUUCCUCGCCCUUG